AAUGGGAUUGUACCUGCCACUGAUGGAUGUGUGAAUGGGGGACCUCCACUUGGAAAAUAGUCCUGGCCUGGCCAUUCCUCACAUAUAAGUACUGAGCAACUACGUGCCCCAGCCAGUCCACCUCAAGGUGAAAACAGCACAGACGGCCAUCAUCUGAGGAGUGGAUGGACAGCUUCUGCUGGAUCUGCACGACCAGGCUUUACCAGAAAAUACAGGAAGUGCAGGAGCCUGUCAGGUCAUCCUAAUCAAGCGAUCGAUCAGGUAACACCAACCAGGAAGAAGGCAGUAGGUACCAGGAACCCCAGAAAAGAUGGACUGAAAACAGCUCACAUUCCCUGUGUGGUGCACUGAGCAACGUUAUGUGACCGGAUCCAACCACAAGAAAGUGUCAAACAGACCAGAAGCAAGGGGGCAUUUUACAAAUACCAUUAUUCCCCAAAGGUUCGACUCCAGACAGAGAAUCUGGCUUUCAAGAUCAAGGAAAUGUGAUAACUCAACAAAGCUGUCACCCUGGCUGGACUCCUGGACCAAAAUCCAAGACAGCAACCUCCUUCAUCUGCCGUGAAGAACAUUAAUGGGGCAAUUGAUAUGGAGAUUAAAUAAUGAUGAUGUAUCAA